UGCCUUGCCCAUUGCAGAUGUUGCUCUGUGGACCACAGCAGUGGACAGGACUGUGAAUCUUCAGCAAAGCACAGGCAUCAUCAGCUGCACUUGGGGUGUUCUAUUCCUGGGAAGACCUGCACCUGCCACAUACUAUGGACUGCCUCUGUGCCAAGUAUCAUCUUGAGAGUAAACUUGGGCUCAACUAGAAGUGGCUUAUUCCCAGAGAAGACAAGACUGCCAGCAAGGCUUCCCGAGACAAUGUCCCUGUGAACUCAGAUGUAGAGCAAAUAUUGCAGCUCGGUGUGCCUCGCAGGGGGAGCCCUUUAUACCUGUGUUUUGCUGACUCCUAUAGCUAUAAUUUCUCGACACUCUGUAAGGUGUUGUUUUGGAUUACAGCUGCUCAGAAUUUAACAUCACUUUCUUUUAUUAUUAUUAUUUUGGCAGAAGUAGCACUUCUUUUCUUGUGCCUUUUUUUUUUUUUUGUCUACUGUAAUAUUUCAGAAAAACUGUUGUUGACUUUUUACAAUAUUGCCUUUUGCGGGGAAAAAUCUUUUAAUGGAAAGGAAUGUGGCUUUGCUCAUUCGCUCAUUCUUGAUAAAUAUUUACAGACAAAUUGUAGUUAUUCAGAAACACAAAGAAGAAGAAAACACUGCAUAAAAUAGAACAAAAAAUGAGCUCAAGUGCUCAACAAUUUCAACUAAAUAUUUUAUAGCAAAAAAGGCUUCUUUUUAAAAAUCAAGUAUAUUUUUAAGAUAUUGACUCUUUAAGUAUCCUGGAAUUUCUACCUGUUUGAAACUUGUGACAUUUUAUUCAUUAUUACUACAUUGCUGACAGAUCUGAAUUUUGAACACUUCUGACAGUUGUUGCAAAAACUGGGUAUGGUUUUCCUGGAGCAUCAAGCUUUUCCUGCUAGAUUGAGUAACCAAAAGAGGGACACACUCCUCUAAUCACAGCUUACAGUUAAUUGGGGUUUUUAUACAUCCUGCUACGGAUACAUCUCUACUGCUUAGUACAGGAUGAGGUAAAGAUCCUGCAAACAGCCCCAGCAGCACUGUGCUAACAUUAUAGCAUUCCCAAGUCUCACACCAACUUUACUGCAUAUCACAGAAGCGUGCGGUGGCGAUUCUCCUGCCUUUUCAGAGCUGGUCAUGGUCCCUCCCACAGUGUUGCUCUGCAAGGUGCAGACACAUUGGGUGGCAAACUAGGAACAAGACUGUAGGUAAAUAGAAAAUAUAAUGCAGCAUUACAUUAGAAAGUAGGUACAAUAAAAAAGGUGGAAAAGUCUGAAUACCAGACUCUUGGUUUUAGUUACAGUUUGUGCAAAGCAGAUUAUAAUUUUACCCUCUCCUGUCUCCACCCUUCUGGUAAAAAUCGUGACCUUUGUGUCUUGGCCCUUUACGUUACCGCAGUAGAUUGCUUUGGAGAAGAUACUGCUUCUUGCCUCAUUGCUAGAUUCUUACCACUAACGUUUAAAAACACGUGUCAAACAUAAAAACUUUACGAGACUUGUUAAAAAAAUCAAAAAUAUACAUGUAAUUAUUAUAUUCAUGGUCCGUUUUUAUUUUCUUCAGCUGCUCAUGUGGCUAUUAGAUUUCAGCCUAAUAGGUUUUUCUGCCCCAAGUCAAUGCUCUGGUUUGUAGGACAAGAAAGAAAUGUGGUAAAGCAGCCCCAAAAGCAGAUAGUUAAAGCAACAUUCAGAAAUAGUGGUCUUAAUAGUAAAAUCUUGAAAUUAAAAAAAAAAAAACAAGUGCAAAAGAAAAUGCGCUUUCGUAAAUCUCCCCCCUUCCUGCAGGUUUACACACUUUUAAUAGUUUAAAAUAUUCAAAAAGUAAAGUUUUUUUCUAGUUAUUUUUUCUGAAAUAUAAUUAUGAUUUAAUGAUCACAUCAAAACCUAUUAUCUCAACUUUUUUUUUCACUUUAAGUAGUUAAACAAAAAAUAAUCCAGAUUUAAACAAUAAAACCAGAAAUAAUGAAAGAUCCUGUCCAAGUCCUACAAAUAAAAAGACCCGAUUCUGCAAGUUACUCAGCAUCUCCUUAGAUUUGCUGAAUAUAAAAACAACUUUCAAGAGGCAUUCAGUAAUUCCUUUCCCUGACUGCAUGCCUGGAAAUUUGAAUCAUAAUUAAUUGUGCAUGUGGUAUUUUUCACAAUAUGUUGUGUUUGUGGUUUUAAUUAUCAUCAUAAGCACCACAGUUAAUCUGUAGUUCAACAUGUGAAAACGUUUAUGUAGUUUUACACGAUAGUUUGGUAACACAUACAAACAUUUAGGCUUAAAGGAACGAUGAGAGUUGGGCCCUCAUCAUUUUAUGAGCUCUUACAUCAGCCAUCUGGAGACCCUUCCCAGCACUUUUGCCACCUGCAACUUGG
rnacentral:lncRNA from 1 species